UGUUGAUGUCGCUGCGUCUUUAAACAAUCUUGGUUUGGUGUUUACUGAAACUGGAAACUACGACAAAGCUAAAGAGGUUCACGAAAAAGCUCUGGAAAUUCGACAACAAUUGUUAGGUCCAAAUCAUGUUGAUGUCGCUGCGUCUUUAUACAAUCUUGGUAUCGUGUGUUAUGAUACUGGAAAGUACGACAAAGCUAUAGAGUUUUACGAAAAA